rnacentral:rRNA from 1 species
CGCCCAAGAGCUAGCCCGCACCCCCAAAAGCAACAAAUCACUAUUAAUAACCCCUAAUAAAUUAAACCCUGCAUCAACAAACCAUUUUUCCUCCUUAGUAAAGGCGAUAGAAAAGGAACCACGGCGCCAUAGAGAGAGUACCGCAAGGGAAAGCUGAAAGAGAGGUGAAACAGCCCGGUUAAGCACAAAAAAGCAGAGAUUCUAUCUCGUACCUUUUGCAUCAUGAAUUAGCUAGAAAGCCCCAAGCAAAGAGCACUUUAGUUUGCCUCCCCGAAACUGAGUGAGCUACUCCAAGACAGCCUAGUAAUAGGGCAAACCCGUCUCUGUGGCAAAAGAGUGGGAAGAGCUUCGAGUAGAGGUGACAGACCUAUCGAACUUAGUUAUAGCUGGUUGCCUGAGAACUGGAUAGAAGUUCAGCCUCCCGGCUUCUCUACUCACAGCUAGCCUUAACCCCUAGACACCCAAAGAGAAACCAGGAGAGUUAAUCAAAGGGGGUACAGCCCCUUUAAUACAAGACACAACUUAAACCAGGAGGGAAAAGAUCAUAAUCAACAUAAGGAUUAAUGUCUUGGUGGGCCUAAAAGCAGCCACCCUUACAGAAAGCGUUAAAGCUCAGACAUAUUACACCUCCCCCUUUUAUCCCGAUAAUUUUAUCUCAACCCCCUAAUUUUAUCAGGCCAUUCCAUAUAAGCAUGGAAGAGAUUAUGCUAGUAUGAGUAAUAAGAGAGCCCCUAGACUCUCUCCGCGCACAAGUGUACAUCGGAACGGACACCCCGCCGAGUCUUAACGGCCCCAAACAAAGAGGGCAAUGGGUAACAAACCAAACAACCAGAAAACCACCCAAGUAAAUCUUACCGUUAACCCCACACUGGAGUGCAUUUCAAGGAAAGACUUAAAGAAAGAGAAGGAACUCGGCAAAUGCACUUGGCCUCGCCUGUUUACCAAAAACAUCGCCUCUUGCAAAAUUAACAAAUAAGAGGUCCCGCCUGCCCUGUGACUAUACGUUUAACGGCCGCGGUAUUUUGACCGUGCAAAGGUAGCGCAAUCACUUGUCUUUUAAAUGGAGACCCGUAUGAAUGGCAUAACGAGGGCUUAACUGUCUCCUCUUUCAAGUCAAUGAAAUUGAUCUCCCCGUGCAGAAGCGGGGAUAAGCACAUAAGACGAGAAGACCCUGUGGAGCUUUAGGCACUAAAGCAGAACAUGUUAAGAACCCCUGACUAAUGGCCAAAACAACUUGUACCCUGCCCUAAUGCCUUCGGUUGGGGCGACCGCGGGGAAAUGAAAAACCCCCAUGCAGAAUGGGAGGACACCUCCUACAGCCAAGAGCCCCUGCUCUAACCAACAGAACCUCUGACUGUACAAGAUCCGGCAAUGCCGAUUAACGGACCGAGUUACCCCAGGGAUAACAGCGCAAUCCCCUUUUAGAGCCCAUAUCGACAAGGGGGUUUACGACCUCGAUGUUGGAUCAGGACAUCCUAAUGGUGCAGCCGCUAUUAAGGGUUCGUUUGUUCAACGAUUAAAGUCCUACGUGAUCUGAGUUCAGACCGGAGUAAUCCAGGUCAGUUUCUAUCUAUGAAAUGAUCUUUUCUAGUACGAAAGGACCGAAAAGAAGGAGCCCAUGCUUUAAGUACGCUCCCCCCUCACCUAAUGAUUUCAACUCAAAUAGGCAAAAGGACAUGCCCCUCCUGCCGAAGAUAACGGCUUGUU